ACGCGGCGAAUUGGUGCAUGCGAGCAUGUCGGGCAAGCGCAAUCAUACGUCAAAAACAACAGCAAAACUGGCAAAUAUCAAAUCGACAAUCGCGGACCUCACUUCUCGUGCCCUAAUUGUGUACGCGGUAAUUUACGUUCGGGUGGAAAAUCAGAUUGGGUGAUCGGUACCGAAUUUCUCGAAAUACCGUGGAAUUACAGGAAUUAAAGCAGCCAACAAUUUGCAUAUUGGCGAUAUUUUGUACUGUCAACUAAAACAAAACAGAAAAGACGAAACGUGUGUGGCAAUAAAAAUUGUCGCCCUCGUAGGUAAAAAACGACUGAAUAAGAAAAAGAAGUGUGUGGAGAGAAGAAAAAUUCGCGUUCGGCGUGAAAGGAAUUUCUGGCCAUUUCACGCUGGCUGGCGAAAAUCGUGGAUAAGCCGCCGCGUCGCUGUAAAAUCGAGAUACUUGCGGAGUUUUAUUUCCUGUGCGAUGCAUUGGAAAUAACGCGUGUUGAAUUUCUCCAUCCAAAAUCGGAAAUAAGACGGGUUGCGGUAAUUGCUCGACAUUUUCAUUGGCGCUCGCGAAAAGCGACGCGAUGCCAUUUCCAGUGAACGUACUCGCGGAGUUCUCGUCAUUGUCUUUUUCGUGGAGUAGUGAAAUGUUUUAAACGGAAUUCCGUGGAAAUAGGCAAAAAGACUUGCACUUGGUCCGCAGUGAUUUCGGGAGGCGGCCAGAAGGUUCUGUUUGGUGGGGGAAUACGGAGCCUGGCGCGCAACUACGACGCCAGGAAAACGGCGAUUUCUGGAGGUUCGCGUUGUUUCACGAAAUGCAAAUUAGUUCUGCUCGAAUUAAUAUGCGACCACAAUGUCCGAGAUGAAACGUGUUGCAUUCACGACAUUAGGCACUGACCUACCGUCAGUCAGGCGAUCUUCGAACGGGAAUUUUUCUGCAGCCGCCUUGUUCCAAGAUGACGAAGCAGCGAUGCUUCCACCCUCAACCGGAGGAACCACGGACGCGGCAUCGACUUCGGCCACCAGAGUGACGUCACAGGGCCACGGUCCUAAGACAUUUCGUUUGAAGCUGGAGCUGUUCGACCCGAACGUGGACACGUUUCCUGAAUUCAACUACUCGAAAUUGGUUCAUGUGGAGAAGAAAAAAUUAAAGAAGCUUUCCAAGUCGAAUGGAUUUUUAGAUCCCUUUGAAGAGAACGAUGAUGACGUCGCUCGAAUUGCCAAAGAAUUUGAAAAGAAAUACAGCGGUGGAUAUGCGAGUAAAGGACGGCGUAGCAAAAAAGAUGAUUACUAUGACAAAGGAGCUGGCUAUGAUGAAUCCGAUUCUUUCAUAGACAAUACAGAAGCGUACGAUGAAAUAAUCCCAGAAGAAGUUGAAACUGUAGGUGGGGGUUUUUAUAUUAAUUGCGGAGCUUUAGAAUUUACCCAUCUAGCUGAAGAUGAUAAAAUCAAAGCAACCAAGCCCAGGAAGCGAGCAUUGUCAUCUUCAUCUAGUAGUGAAGAUGAAGACGAAGGAAAGAAGAAGCAAGAAAAUGGAAAUGAAAAAGAAGCGGUAGAAGAGGCAAUCGAAGGUAAUACUUCACCUAAAGAAGCCACAACCAACGGGAAGGUUGGUAACGUAGAUAAAAGGCCAAAAAUAGCGGAAGAUGUCAUUGAUCAAUCUGCUAAAUUGGUACGAAAUCAGAAAGACAAAAAACCGGAAAAGGCAAGGACAAAAGAUGUCGACAGUGAAACAUAUUCUGAUUCAGGUACAGAAAAAGAAAAGGAGAAAGACAAAGAGAGAAUCGUAAAGACUAUUACGGUAAAGGAUAUGCUCAAAGCUAAUCGUGAUAACUUCCGUAAGAUGCAACAAGAAGAAGAUGGCUCGAAAGGACAUCAGGUAAAUGGCGGCAAAGUGUCCGAUUCAGAGGAUUCGUCAGGAACAACAACUGACAGUGAAGUCGAGACUGAGCCACCAGAUAAGAAACGGAGAAAAUCAGUAGACGGUGACGAAGGGGAAAAAAUGCGGACUUCUGAUGUCAAACUGCCAGAUGAUCUUUCAGAAGAUGUUCGUAAGGAUAUCGAAGAGUUGAAGUGUGUGGUCAAAGCAUCUAAUCAAACAGGAAAACCAUUGCACUUUACAGAUCAAAUGAUCGAGAUUUUUCUGAGGAUUGAUGAUGCUUGCAGUUGCCUUGAUAAAGGAGUUCGUAAUCAAAUUUUCGCUCAUCUUGAAUUUCAGUUGUCGCUAGCAAAAUACUAUUUCUUACGGAAAGCUCGAACCUUGCGUAUUAAACAGGAGAAGAAUAAAACGAAACGGGCCUAUUUGAAGCUGAAGAAAACUGUUGCAGAAGUCAUGCCGUCCAUAUUAUCCAGCUAUGAAGCAAGUUGUCGGAAAGUAGAAGAGAUGAGAACAAUCGCGUCACAAAAUAAUGUUGACCUUGCAGAUUUGCCAAAGUAUCCAAAGAAAAAGUUCAUCUGGAAUGAUACUAUAAGGAAUUUACUUUUUGAAUUGUAUCAAGUACGAUGGACUUCAUACCUUGUCCUGCGGACACGUAAAGAACCACUUAACGACUUCAUUACAAACUACUUGAAAGAGAAAGUCAUACCUAUCUGGCCUCAAGGUUGGAUGAAGUACGAAGAACUGAAAAAAGAGUUGGAAAAACGAAAGAAACCAAAAGACAAUAAAAAGUCUGAAGACGAGGAGGCAUCCUUGUCAAAAAGAAAUGUAGAAAUAGAUAAAUUGCCGUCAAUUCUUUCGAACAACAGUAAUGUGUCGAUUAUAUCCACAAAGGAUCUAGUUGUAACAAUCUCUACUAAAAGCGAUAAGAAAACAGAAGUGCCUCUUUCAAGUAGUGAUUCAUUGACCGUGACACCGAUUUUAUCAGAGCCCAGUAGUGGAAGCAGUAACAGACCGGGAAUUGUAAAUAAGACUGUUGACAGUGCACAUCAAAAAUCACAUAAACCAAGUUCGGUUCCAAACGCAUCUUUACUGAUAUCGUCAGCGUCAGGUCCCCGCAGCGUCAGCCCUUUAAACUUGCAUCAAGUCAGCGGCAACGUGAAGACAGGACAUGCCUCGCAGACAAAUCACAGCAGCAGUAAACACAGUAGCGAUAGUAAAAGUAAUAAUUUUCCUUCAAGUAGCUCAAGUAGUAAUAGUCAUAGCAACCAACCCGUCGCUAAGAAACAACAGCCAACGGCGACUUUGGAUUUGACAUCACCUGUAAAAAGAUCUACUGAUCACAGCAUCAACAGUAUAAUGUCAUCCAGGACAACGCCCUCGCCAACACAUCAUUCCAACAAUAACAGUAGUGCUUCGUCCGUAGGGAGCACGUCUCAGGCGACGUUGGCGCCAUCUAAAAGUUCCACCGGUUCGAGUAGUAGUUCUACAACACCUUCCGAUACUGCCAUAACGCAUGUUAUUACUGUAGAUAAUCUGAAAAAUACCUCAGAUAUAAUUAACACAUCAAAUAAAUUAAUCAGCAAUAAUAAUAGUGCUAACAGUAAUACAGGAGCUAAUUCCAAUUUUGCCGGUUCGUCAGGUUCUUCGACAACGAACGGAGCAAUUCGGAUACGAAGCGUCGCGAGUGUUAACAGUUGUUUGGAGAAAGAAAAAGAGCGCAGGAAGGAGUCAACAACAAACUCUGAUCACAUACGCCCAUCUAGUCGCGCCAGCAGCACUACAAUAGAAGACUUGAACGUGGGCAGCGAAAGUGACAGUGACGGUGUGGAGAUCGUUGGUGUCUUUCCUGUCUCCAAUAAGAAAAAGAAACAAUCACCACCAUGCUCAAUUUCGGCGCCUCCAGUAACGACUUCAACGGUGCCAGUAACGAUUCGUACAGGCAGCAAGCACAAGGAUAAAAAGCCAAGUAGUCAUACGAGCAGAAGUUCAUCGCCUAGCCUUGCAAAUAAUGCAGUUGCGCAAAACCUGAAGAAAGAGCACAGCGGAAAUAGCGGAGGGAAAACUUCAACUGUGAACAGUCGGUAUAAUGAUUUGGACCCUGUGAGCAAAGAACGGAGAAGCGGUUCCAGUGCUGACCUCAGCGCCACUACGGCAGCUGCCACAAAUAAUGAUAAAGAUAACGAAUUGGAUGUGUUUCAGAUCAUGCAAGCACUUAAAGAGCUAGAGACCAAACUAAACAAGACAAACAAAUCGAGUGAAGCGCUUACAAUUUACAAUCAGUACAAUGGUCUAGGAUGGCGGCUUGACGAAUAUUUCAAGUCAUUGUCGGCAAGCAAACGGAUAGAAGCCUUCACGCAUUAUAAAUUGAACGAACCCUUCAAGAAAUGAAGGAAAUGCAACAAUCGAAUAUUCAUAUAUCAAGCAGCAAAUCACCUACCAAUAGCCGGCCAGGAGGAGAGUUGGAAAAGCUAUGAGAACCACUAACGCAGUGGUGUACCUACAUCAAAACCGUAGUGUUGAGAAAAUUUGUUGAAGGUAUUCAAUAUGUUGUAAAACAUUUGUAAAAUCUAAUCGUUGAGUUUUAAUACAAAUUCAUUUACGUAUUGUGACGUUCACUAAUGCUUUUCUUUGUUUAAUGCUUCAGUUUUUUUUUUCAUUUCCGUUUAGUUUAUUUAUUUUAUCAAUUUUUGGCAUAAUGUUAUCCGAAUAAGAAAACAAAACACUUUGUAUAUUUAUAAAAAUAUUGACUUUGUAAAUUAGCUUUCUUUUUUAAAAAAAAACAAGAAGAUGCAAAAAAAUAGUAUAAAAUUUAGAGUAACAUAAUCUACAUAGCGAUAUAAAUGGAAAGAGUGAAUUAUCUUUUAAUAAAGUUCUAUAUUAUGUAUAU
rnacentral:misc_RNA from 1 species